rnacentral:lncRNA from 1 species
UAAGUUCCUUCACUGAACAGUGAGUGAUUUCACUAAGUCCACAGAUAUUUACUGAUCAUCUACUGUAUGUGCUAGAUGCUGUGCCAGGAGCUGGCAAUAAGAUAAUGAACAAAACAAAAACCCAUGUCCUCCUGGAGCUUUGACUCUAUGGAAUGCCCGAACUGGGAUGCAGUACUCUCGCCAGGGCCACGUGUCCUCCUAGGUGAGCAAAAGGCGCGUGAGGUGCCGCCCUGGGACCAGUCGGCGGGUGGACUUCGUCCUGGGCGGGAGGAGAGGGCCGCACCUCGGACAAACGCUUGGCUGGGCACGUCGCCUGGGGCAGGAGCUGACACCCGCCCGCCAAGCCCUCUCCAGACGGCAGCAGAUCCUGGCGGGGAGAAGAGCCCCGAGAGGCAAAUUCCAGCGGGUCCGCGCGCGGAGCAGCAAAGCCAGGUCCUGCACCCUCGCGUUCGCAGACUGGCACUUGCGACUUCUUCCCUUCUCCCGCACGCGACUGCGCCGAGGGACGCAAGCCCACCACCCGGACAGGCUUACAAAGCUCCACGCAGACCCACAAGUGAGCGAACACACAGCUCUGAGCAGAUCUGCCGGGGCAGAGGAGCGCGCUUCGCUCUUUCCUGCACCCCUAGCCUCCUCGCCUACCCAGCCCGCCCCUCCUCCACCUCCCCAGCCCCCAAGCCCCGGGGCAGCCGCGCGCCGGGCGGGGCGAGGGCGGGGCGGGGUGUCGGGCGGCGCCGGCCCAAAAGGCGGAGUCGCAAGGCGAAGGGGCCAGAUCUGUGA